UUCUUCAAUAAAAUUCAGUUGGAAGUUAGCGCUUGUGUGUGUCGCAUUCUCCUGUCUUUCGUCCCUGAAGUUCGCGCUAUUUAGAUGUUCAAAUAGAUGUACACUCAGAAAUUGUGUAUUCUUGACAUAACAUAAAUGCAAGCCUGUGACCCAGCUAGGCCAAGUUUAUGUGUGUGUACAAGAAAGGGGAGGUUUCUUUUUAUCUUAUUUUUUUCAUUUGAAGGGUUGCGGUAUAAAUGUCUUAGCAAAUGUAAACUUGUGUUUCAGUUUCAUUUUCAGAACCUCUGAGAGAGCUUAAAGGCAAAACUUGGCACGCCAGUGCCACAUGCAAUGUCAAUGCUGUAUAAAAUGACUCGCCCAACUGCCACAGAAAAAUCGAAAUACUUCACGAAGUAUUGUGUCCAUUUCGUGUAAUGUAAAAAGGCUGUAAUAGUAUAUGCUUUCAUUCUGCGAUGUUGUGACCGAUAUGUGGGACAAACAGAAGUGUUCUCUGAAUGAUCGAUAGUUGCGACAUCUGUGUUGGUUUACAGGUAUGCAUGGUGGUGGCUGCAAAGCAGUUUGACAAUGCACUUUUUCGUUUCACAUGCGGACCAGCUCAGAGUUGCAGAAAUGGCUAGACGGGAUCGUUAAAUGUGCAAGUGUGCAACCUAUCACCUUGUCGAACAAGAAAUUUUUCUAUCUCGGUGUCACACAUGCUGGCUGCAGAUCAGAAACUGGUGUUGGCGAGUACUUGUAUCAAAUUGUUAUCAAAUCACACGGUGGUCCUUGUUAAUUGGCUAUUUUGUUCCUUUCAUGCGAUUUUGUGUGGCUUAUGCACAAUGCUGUUGAUUCAUUAAUUGUUAACAGCAAUGUGUUA
rnacentral:lncRNA from 1 species